rnacentral:rRNA from 1 species
GUGCCAGCAGCCGCGGUAAGACAGAGGGGGCAAGCGUUGUCCGGACUAACUGGGCGUAAAGCGCGCGCAGGCGGCGUCGGGCGUCGGUGCUGAAAGUCCACCGCUUAACGGUGGAUAGCGUGCCGAUACGCCGACGCUGGAGGGUGGGCGAGGGUGGUGGAAUUGCCGGUGUAGUGGUGAAAUGCGUAGAGAUCGGCAGGAACACCCGUGGCGGAAGCGGCCACCUAGCCCGCACCUGACGCUGAGGCGCGACAGCGUGGGGAGCGAACGGGAUUAGAAACCCGCGUAGUCC